ensembl:lncRNA
AUAACAGAUAAAGAUUUUAGAAAAAAAUUAAAAGUAUUACGCAAUUAUUAAUUUAUUACUUUUAAAAAAAAAAAAAAAAAAAAAUAGCGUUAGCAUUAGCAAUAGUAACACAAGAUUAAAUAUAUAAAUAUAAUCAUAUAUUAAUGUAAAUUUUAAUAAAUAACAUUUGGUAAAAAGAUAUGAAGAUAAUAUUAAAUAAAACUUAAUUUGAAUAAUACAAAAGAUAAGUAUAUAAGUAUAUGGAUAUCUAAGUGUAUAGGUAUAUAGUGACAUAGAUAUAUAAGUAUAUGAAUAUAUAAGUAUAUAUCUAUUUUUUUUAUUUUUUUUUAAUUUAACAUUUUAAAAUAUUAAGGUGUAUGUCUUAUCUUUAAAUUAGAGGAAAAAAUGAGUAACACUGAGAACGUCGAUAUAGAGAUACUGAAAUUUUUGCAAUGUGCAUUUAAAGAAGGCGUAAAAGUAAAAAGUGCAGCCGAAGUUGGAAAAAGGGCUGUGGAGUACUUUAGAGGUGAUGAUUUUGUUAAUUUUAUGAAUGACAAAAAGGAAAUGAUAAAAAAGAAAUUUCCAAAUUUAUUUAGUAAUAAGAAAUUGGCUGAUUUAAAAGAUAUAGAAGAUUUUGCUGACAUGUUAAUACAAAAAGGAUAUAUAUAUAAAGCUCAAUAUAAACCUAUUAAAGGAAUAAAUGAAAUGGAUGAGAAUGGAGUAUAUAAAAGACCUAAAUGGCCUAAAAGAUUAAUUAUGACAUCUAAACAAAAUUUUGAUAAAAAUGGUUUUUAUAUUUUAGUACAUGAAAGAAAUACUAGAUUACAAUAUGUUAUGUUAAUAACAUUAAUAACCAUUGUUUUAAUUUGUUGUAUGUUUCCAGUUUGGCCAUUAAAAUUAAAAUUAGCAUUAUGGCAUUUAUCAGUAGUAUUUAUAUGUUUAAUUUCUUUUAUAGUAAUAGGAAGGUUAAUAACAUUUUUAUUUUUUUGGUUUUUUGGAGUCGAUUAUUGGAUAUUUCCUAAUUUAUUUGAUGAAGAAUGUAAUGUGAUUGAAUCAUUUAUUCCUUUUCAUACGUGGCAUUAUCGAAACGAUACAUGGUUUCUUGUCAUUGCUCGAGCAUUUACUGCUGUUUUAUUGGCAAUAGGUAUACACCAAUUAGGAAAAACACAUUCUAUAUCAGAUAUUCAAAAUUUUGCAAAACAGUCAUUUAUUGACAUAAUAGAAUGGGGUAAUAAAAAAUUAUCUGAUACCCCAGAACAUGUUUCAAUGUAUAAAUCUUUAGAUGCACAAGCAGCUUUUGACACGAGUGCUAUUGAGGAAGAUGAUGUUGUUUAUGAUGAAAAUGAAGAAAACUAUGAUUGUUUAAAAAAAUGUGGGUUUCAAACAUUUCAGGAGUUGGUCAGGAAAUGUUUCUUAAAAUGUGACUGUUUAGAGAAAGUUAUAAAAUCCGAAUGUUACCUUAAGAAGUGUUCUAGAGUAACAAAGGAAGUUUUAGAUGAAGCGCACAGAGAAGCUUGUUUUGAAAAAACAAAAACUGAGUAAAAAAAAAAAAAUAGUUCAAGUUAUAAUACUCUUUUUUUUUUUUUUUUUUUUUUUUUUUUUUUUUUUUUUAAAAAAAACCAUGAGACAUUUGAAUUAUAUUAAACAUAAUAUUAUAUACAUAUAUACACAUUUCAAAAGAUAAUUGAAGCAUAAUAAAAACACAUAGAAAAGGUUGUUCCUUUUCA